AUGUUGGUCUUCAUUCAUCUAAAACAAAUGGUAGCUGUGUUGGCAUGCCUUCCAUUUUGUAGCACUGUCUACAAGGUGGACCUGUGUUGCACUGCUGCUGCUCCAUCCAUGAUAGCGGAUCUGUCUUCGUACAAUUGCACUUCAGUCAAUGAUGGUGCAUCAGCCUCUACAGGCCGGAUACAUGAUGGGACAACCAUUACCUCCACCCCCCCCAUCCACUCAAAGCGUCAACGUCCUGCCUUUGGGUUGUGCUUGUUUACUGCUCAUUUCUCUGCCUAUGUAGGCAGAUUAAUUUUUUGUUUUGUUCCUUGA
rnacentral:rRNA from 1 species